rnacentral:rRNA from 1 species
CCUACGGGCGGCUGCAGUGGGGAAUAUUGCACAAUGGGCGCAAGCCUGAUGCAGCCAUGCCGCGUGUGUGAAGAAGGCCUUCGGGUUGUAAAGCACUUUCAGCGGGGAGGAAGGCGUUAAGGUUAAUAACCUUGUCGAUUGACGUUACCCGCAGAAGAAGCACCGGCUAACUCCGUGCCAGCAGCCGCGGUAAUACGGAGGGUGCAAGCGUUAAUCGGAAUUACUGGGCGUAAAGCGCACGCAGGCGGUCUGUCAAGUCGGAGGUGAAAUCCCCGGGCUCAACCUGGGAACUGCAUUCGAAACUGGCAGGCUAGAGUCUUGUAGAGGGGGGUAGAAUUCCAGGUGUAGCGGUGAAAUGCGUAGAGAUCUGGAGGAAUACCGGUGGCGAAGGCGGCCCCCUGGACAAAGACUGACGCUCAGGUGCGAAAGCGUGGGGAGCAAACAGGAUUAGAUACCCGGGUAGUC